rnacentral:rRNA from 1 species
GCCUGCCCAGUGACCAAGUGUUUAACGGCCGCGGUAUCCUGACCGCGCGAAGGUAGCGUAAUCACUUGUCUUUUAAAUAAAGACUAGUAUGAACGGCCUAACGAGGACUUAACUGUCUCCUCUAUCUAAUCAGUGAAACUGAUCUCCUCGUGAAGAAGCGAGGAUUCCCCCAUAAGACGAGAAGACCCUAUGGAGCUUCAAACCUAAAUCAACUACUCACUUAACUCUCUAAAGAAUUAACAUUGAAUCUUGUCAGAUUGAAUCAGGUUUUCGGUUGGGGCGACCACGGAGAAAAAAAAAUCCUCCCUGUAUCUAUAAACUAAGAGCCACAGCUCUAAGUAUUCAGCCUCCCACUCUAAUUGACCCACUUUGUGAUCAACGAACCAAGUUACCCUAGGGAUAACAGCGCUAUCCAUUUUAAGAGUUCCUAUCGACAAAUGGGUUUACGACCUCGAUGUUGGAUCAGGGCAUCCUAGUGGUGCAACCGCUACUAAAGGUUCGUU